UACGUAGGGUGCAAGCGUUAAUCGGAAUUACUGGGCGUAAAGCGUGCGCAGGCGGCUAUGCAAGACAGAUGUGAAAUCCCCGGGCUCAGCCUGGGAACUGCAUUUGUGACUGCAUGGCUAGAGUACGGUAGAGGGGGAUGGAAUUCCGCGUGUAGCAGUGAAAUGCGUAGAUAUGCGGAGGAACACCGAUGGCGAAGGCAAUCCCCUGGACCUGUACUGACGCUCAUGCACGAAAGCGUGGGGAGCAAACAGG
rnacentral:rRNA from 1 species